AUUGAACGCUGGCGGCAUGCCUUACACAUGCAAGUCGAACGGCAGCACGGGAGCAAUCCUGGUGGCGAGUGGCGAACGGGUGAGUAAUAUAUCGGAACGUGCCCAGUCGUGGGGAUAACGUAGCGAAAGCUACGCUAAUACCGCAUACGAUCUAUGGAUGAAAGCGGGGGAUCGCAAGACCUCGCGCGAUUGGAGCGGCCGAUAUCAGAUUAGGUAGUUGGUGAGGUAAAGGCUCACCAAGCCGACGAUCUGUAGCUGGUCUGAGAGGACGACCAGCCACACUGGGACUGAGACACGGCCCAGACUCCUACGGGAGGCAGCAGUGGGGAAUUUUGGACAAUGGGCGGCAAGCCUGAUCCAGCAAUGCCGCGUGCAGGAUGAAGGCCUCGGUUGUAACGUA
rnacentral:rRNA from 1 species